GUUGGUUUAGUGGUAAAAUUCGUCCCUGCCACGGACGAGGCCCGGGUUCGAUUCCCGG
rnacentral:tRNA from 1 species